GAUCCUGGCUCAGGAUGAACGCUAGCUACAGGCUUAACACAUGUAAGUCGAGGGGCGAGCAUGGUCUUAGCUUGCUAAGGCCGAUGGCGACCGGCGCACGGGUGAGUAACGCGUAUCCAACCUGCCUUACACUCUUGGGACAGCCCUUCUGAAAGGGAGAUUAAUACCAAGAUGUUUAUCAUGAGUAAGCAUUUUCGCAUGAUUAAAGGUUUACCGUGUGGUAAGAGUGGGGAUCGUCGUU
rnacentral:rRNA from 1 species